GGAUGAACGCUAGCUACAGGCUUAACACAUGCAAGUCGUUUGGCAGCAUUUUAGUUUGCUUGCAAACUAAAGAUGGCGACCGGCGCACGGGUGAGUAACACGUAUCCAACCUGCCGAUAACUCGGGGAUAGCCUUUCGAAAGAAAGAUUAAUAUCCGAUAGUAUAUUAAAACCGCAUGGUUUUACUAUUAAAGAAUUUCGGUUAUCGAUGGGGAUGCGUUCCAUUAGUUUGUUGGCGGGGUAACGGCCCACCAAGACAACGAUGGAUAGGGGUUCUGAGAGGAAGGUCCCCCACAUUGGAACUGAGACACGGUCCAAACUCCUACGGGAGGCAGCAGUGAGGAAUAUUGGUCAAUGGACGAGAGUCUGAACCAGCCAAGUAGCGUGAAGGAUGACUGCCCUAUGGGUUGUAAACUUCUUUUAUAUGGGAAUAAAGUAUUCCACGUGUGGGAUUUUGUAUGUACCAUAUGAAUAAGGAUCGGCUAACUCCGUGCCAGCAGCCGCGGUAAUACGGAGGAUCCGAGCGUUAUCCGGAUUUAUUGGGUUUAAAGGGAGCGUAGGUGGAUUGUUAAGUCAGUUGUGAAAGUUUGCGGCUCAACCGUAAAAUUGCAGUUGAAACUGGCAGUCUUGAGUACAGUAGAGGUGGGCGGAAUUCGUGGUGUAGCGGUGAAAUGCUUAGAUAUCACGAAGAACUCCGAUUGCGAAGGCAGCUCACUAGACUGCAACUGACACUGAUGCUCGAAAGUGUGGGUAUCAAACAGGAUUAGAUACCCUGGUAGUCCACACAGUAAACGAUGAAUACUCGCUGUUUGCGAUAUACAGUAAGCGGCCAAGCGAAAGCAUUAAGUAUUCCACCUGGGGAGUACGCCGGCAACGGUGAAACUCAAAGGAAUUGACGGGGGCCCGCACAAGCGGAGGAACAUGUGGUUUAAUUCGAUGAUACGCGAGGAACCUUACCCGGGCUUAAAUUGCAAAUGAAUAAUCUGGAAACAGGUUAGCCGCAAGGCAAAUGUGAAGGUGCUGCAUGGUUGUCGUCAGCUCGUGCCGUGAGGUGUCGGCUUAAGUGCCAUAACGAGCGCAACCCUUAUCUUUAGUUACUAACAGGUCAUGCUGAGGACUCUAGAGAGACUGCCGUCGUAAGAUGUGAGGAAGGUGGGGAUGACGUCAAAUCAGCACGGCCCUUACGUCCGGGGCUACACACGUGUUACAAUGGGGGGUACAGAAGGCAGCUACCUGGCGACAGGAUGCUAAUCCCAAAAACCUCUCUCAGUUCGGAUCGAAGUCUGCAACCCGACUUCGUGAAGCUGGAUUCGCUAGUAAUCGCGCAUCAGCCAUGGCGCGGUGAAUACGUUCCCGGGCCUUGUACACACCGCCCGUCAAGCCAUGAAAGCCGGGGGUACCUGAAGUACGUAACCGCAAGGAGCGUCCUAGGGUAAAACUGGU
rnacentral:rRNA from 1 species